CUCACCAUUGGCCUCUCCGCCCACCGCCUCACACCCAUUGGUCCGCUCGCCGCCAAUCAGGGGAAGCCGCCGGGGCCGCCUAGAGAAGAGGCUGUGCUCUGGGGCUCCGGCUCCUCAGAGAGCCUCGGCUAGGUUGCUCCUUGACAGCAGGACAAUGCUUAUGGCUUUAUCCGUUGCCUAAGCUCAGAGAGGUCUGCGAGGUCAAAACUAUUUUCAUGAUAGCAAGAUGCUUCCCUUUUUCACUCAUUCUCUCAGUGUUCAGAGGCUCCAUGAUGUGUGAUGACAUCGUCAUUGAUGUUAAUGAAUGGUGCUAUACUUGAAUUCUCUAAGGUGUGGUUAGGUAGGUUUAGGUAUGCAUACUUUUUAAAAUUAGUUUUUUCCCCUUUUCUCAUUUUUAGAAAUAACUCACUAGGUUAUGCCUUCAGUAAUCUUUGCAACCUGAAUAUUAUAGUUUUCGUGCCUAAGCAUGAACAUAAGAAGUACAUUUUGUUGUGUUGUUUGCAGUGGUUUAAAUAUUUUCCUAAAAUACCCAAAAUUAAAAAUUUUACAACUUUAGAAUUUAAUAACUAUUCUAAAAUAAAUCUAUAUUUUUCUCAUUUAAGAAUGGA